UACAGAGGGUGCGAGCGUUAAUCGGAAUUACUGGGCGUAAAGCGUGCGUAGACGGCUAUCUAAGUCGGGUGUGAAAGCCCCGGGCUCAACCUGGGAAUUGCAUUCGAGACUGAAUAGCUAGGGUGCGGUAGAGGGAAGCGGAAUUUCCGGUGUAGCGGUGAAAUGCGCAGAUAUCAGGAGGAACACCAGCGGCGAAGGCGGUGCUCUGGGCCGGAACUGACACUGAGGAGCGAAAGCGUGGGUAGCAAGCAGG
rnacentral:rRNA from 1 species